rnacentral:rRNA from 1 species
CGGGGGGCAGCAGUGGGGAAUAUUGCGCAAUGGGGGAAACCCUGACGCAGCAACGCCGCGUGAGUGAAGAAGGCCUUUGGGUUGUAAAGCUCUUUCGGCCGGGAAGAAGGGUGAGGGUGUUAAUAGCACAUUCAUUUGAUGGUACCGGAAGAAGAAGCACCGGCUAACUUCGUGCCAGCAGCCGCGGUAAUACGAAGGGUGCGAGCGUUGUUCGGAAUUACUGGGCGUAAAGGGUUUGUAGGCUGAAAUGUAAGUCAAGUGUGAAAUCCCCGAGCUAAACUUGGGACGUGCAUUUGAAACUGUGUUUCUUGAGUAUCGUAGAGGGUGGUGGAAUUGUAGGUGUAGGAGUGACAUCCGUAGAGAUCUGCAGGAACAUCAGAGGCGAAGGCGACCACCUGGCCGAUUACUGACGCUGAGGAACGAAAGCGUGGGGAGCAAACAGGAUUAGAUACCCUAGU